UCCGCCUGCUUAGCGGAGUGGUAACGUGCUUGCCUCCCAUGCAAGCGGGCCCGGGUUCGAUUCCCGGCCGAGUUGGAG